UACGGAGGUAGCAAGCGUUGCUCGGAAUCACUGGGCGUAAAGGGCGCGUAGGCGGGGAGGUAAGUCGGGUGUGAAAUCCCUCGGCCCAACCGAGGAACUGCGCCCGAGACUGCUUCUCUUGAGUCCCGGAGAGGAAGAUGGAAUUCCCGGUGUAGCGGUGAAAUGUGUAGAGAUCGGGAGGAACACCGGUGGCGAAGGCGGUCUUCUGGACGGUGACUGACGCUGAGGCGCGAAAGCCAGGGGAGCAAACGGG
rnacentral:rRNA from 1 species